AACGAACGCUGGCGGCAGGCUUAACACAUGCAAGUCGAGCGCCCCGCAAGGGGAGCGGCAGACGGGUGAGUAACGCGUGGGAAUCUACCCAUCUCUACGGAAUAACGCAUGGAAACGUGUGCUAAUACCGUAUACGUCCUUCGGGAGAAAGAUUUAUCGGAGAUGGAUGAGCCCGCGUUGGAUUAGCUAGUUGGUGGGGUAAAGGCCGACCAAGGCGACGAUCAAUAGCUGGUCUGAGAGGAUGAUCAGCCACACUGGACUGAGACACGGCCCAGACUCCUACGGGGGGCAGCAGUGGGGAAUAUUGGACAAUGGGCGCAAGCCUGAUCCAGCCAUGCCGCGUGAGUGAUGAAGGCCCUCGGGUUGUAAAGCUCUUUCACCGGUGAAGAUAAUGACGGUGACCGGAGAAGAAGCCCCGGCUAACUUCGUGCCAGCAGCCGCCGUAACAC
rnacentral:rRNA from 1 species